AUGAAGGAGUUGGGACUGACAGAGGAGGAUCCGGACGAUGUGGUCUUUGAUGAGAAGGAGGCGCCGCCGGAGGCGGCCCGGUGGGUUGCCCUAGUCAGGGUUCACACAAACAAAUCUUAUAGUCAAUUCUGGUUCUUCAAGAACAUGCGAGCGGCGUGGGAUCUUGCGCAAGAAGUAAGAUUCAAACCCUUGGAGGACAAUCUAUACACUGCCCAAUUCUCAUGCUUAGGGGACUGGGAG
rnacentral:rRNA from 1 species